rnacentral:rRNA from 1 species
GCAGCCGCGGUAAUACGUAGGUUGCAAGCGUUGUCCGGAUUUACUGGGUGUAAAGGGCGUGUAGGCGGAGGUGCAAGUUGGGAGUGAAAUCCCGGGGCUCAACCCCGGAACUGCUUUCAAAACUGCAUCCCUUGAGUAUCGGAGAGGCAAGCGGAAUUCCUAGUGUAGCGGUGAAAUGCGUAGAUAUUAGGAGGAACACCAGUGGCGAAGGCGGCUUGCUGGACGACAACUGACGCUGAGGCGCGAAAGCGUGGGGAGCAAACAGGAUUAGAUACCCC